rnacentral:rRNA from 1 species
UACAGAGGUCUCGAGCGUUGUUCGGAUUCAUUGGGCGUAAAGGGUGCGUAGGUGGCGCCGUAAGUCGGGUGUGAAAUUUCGGAGCUUAACUUCGAAACUGCAUUCGAUACUGCGGUGCUUGAGGACUGGAGAGGAGACUGGAAUUCAUGGUGUAGCAGUGAAAUGCGUAGAGAUCAUGAGGAAGACCAGUGGCGAAGGCGGGUCUCUGGACAGUUCCUGACACUGAGGCACGAAGGCCAGGGGAGCAAACGGG